AUUGAAUUGAACUUCGUCCAGGAUAACCACAAGAUUGCCACAGGAUAACAACAGUUUGCUGGCUUAAUCCCUUAUCCUGGUUUUGUGCAAUAGGGUCAUGAUUGCAGAGAGUUUGUGGGGGUGUCAGAGGAGGUUGUAUUUUCUAGACAGAUGUGGUCGAUGAGGAGGUUUUUCCAGGGUGUGAUGUGUCUUGAGUCCCGUGAUUUCCAGUUCAUGAGGAGAGUUUUCUUGGCAACAGCUCGCACCACGAGAAGUAAAGGGUUUUGUGUAUGAUCAGGUUUUGAUGUGGACAGGUCUCUGAUAAACAGAGGGUGGGGGAAGCGGGACGUGGCAGCCCAGGAUCUGUGACAGGAUGUCUGUGAUGUUUCUCCAGAAGUGGUGGACAGGUGAGCAGUGCCAGGCUGCAUGAAUGUAGGUAUCUGUGCAGUUUUCUGAGCAGUGUGAACAGUUAUCGGAUGAUGAGAAGCCCAUUUUUUGCAUUUUUUGUCCAGUCAGAUGUGUUCUAUGAAUGAUUUGUAUUGGAUGAGCGUUUUUUGUCAUGAGGAAAAUGUUCUUGCAGAUCUGGGGCCAGAAGUCGGCAUCAGGAGCAACUGUGAGAUCUGUUUGCCAUUUUUCUGAAGGUGUAGAUGAUAUUGUAUCGGUCUGUGAAAUUCACUUGGAUAUUUUAGAUCAGAGUUUUUUUGAAGAGGAGAUAUUAAUGAGGGUAGAAGCUGAAGGGGGGAGGUCGAGGUUUAUGUUUCUGUUUUUCAUUGCUGAUUGGAUGGAUGAUGAAACCUGUAGGUAUUGUAGAAACUGUUGGCUCCUGAUGCCGAGCUUCUGGACCAGGAGCGGGAAUGGGACCAGGGUGUUAUUGUUGAAGAUGUGUUUGAGGGGAGUGAUCCCUUUAUCUGCCCAGGAGCUGAAGCGUAACGGUUGUUUAUUGCUGGUGAAGUCCGGGUUGUGCCAGAUGGGGGUGAAGAGUGAGGGUUCCAGAGUGGAGUCAGUGAUGCUGUGGAAUUUCCACCAGGCUGUCAGAGCCGAUGGGACUGUGGGGUUUUUGAAACAGGGGUGUUUUUUGAUAGACUGAGUGAGAAAUGGUAAAUCUGCUAAAUGUAUUUCAUCACUAACUGUCUGUUCUAUGUCUAACCAAGUGUUGUCUGACUGAGUGGGGUGGGUCCGUUUGUAGAUAUACUGAAGUUGAUUUGCUCGUGAAUAGUGGUGAAUAUUUUGAGCAUUGAGUCCGCCUAAUGGUUUGUUUUCUGAAGUGUGGUCAGUUUUAUUCUUGGGAGUUUAUUUUUCCAAUAGACCGUUUUUCGGUCUACGUCAUCGAGAUACUGCGCGCGCAUUCUGGAUACGGAAGUGGUGUUGUUCUCCAUUCGUUCUAGAUAAAAAAGACGAGCUACCACUGGUUAACAAGCAUUUAAAACCGUUCCCGGUAUCAACAUGACCGGUUGUUGCGUGUACGGUUGUACGAAUCGCUGUUCCACCAGCGGAUUAAAGUUUUAUAGGAUUCCGACAGGAUCACGACCAUUUCAGAGCAACCGGCGGCGUCUGUGGCUGCAGGCGAUUAAACGUGUGGACUGGAAUGAGGACACAAUCAAAAAUGCUGGCGUCUGCAGCGCCCACUUUAUAUCAGGCGAGGCGUCAUUGGACUCCAGUAGUCCCGAUUUUGUGCCAUCUGUGUUUAAGUACACAAAACAAAGUCAGAACCCAGAUGCAAAGAUGGACAGGUAGCAUAGGAAAAGGAGGCGGGAUGACAGACCUGUCCCGGCAGCAGCAGUUCUUUCUGAAAAUCCAGAUCAAGAAUGCAGCACGGAUCCUUGUCCUG